GAAAUGCGAUAAGUAAUGUGAAUUGCAGAAUUCAGUGAAUCAUCGAAUUUUUGAACGCACAUUGCGCCCGCUAGUAUUCUGGCGGGCAUGCCUGUUCGAGCGUCAUUUCAACCAUCAAGCUCUAAGCUUGUGUUGGGGCCCUGCAGCUACCGCAGCCCUCUAAAAGCAGUGGCGGGCUCGCUGUCACACCGAGCGUAGUAGCAUACAUUCUCGCUCAGGGCGUGCUGCGGGUUCCGGCCGUUAAACGACCUUCAUAACCCAAGGUUGACCUCGGAUCAGGUAGGAAGACCCGCUGAACUUAAGC
rnacentral:misc_RNA from 1 species